AGUGGCGCACGGGUGAGUAACACGUAAGUAAUCUACCCUCGGGUGGGGAAUAACAUCGGGAAACCGAUGCUAAUACCGCAUAAUGCAGCGGCACCGCAAGGUGACAGUUGUUAAAGGCGAAAGUCGCCUGAGGAGGAGCUUGCGGCAGAUUAGCUAGUUGGUAGGGUAAUGGCUUACCAAGGCUACGAUCUGUAACCGGUCUAAGAGGACGGUCGGUCACACUGACACUGAAUAACGGGUCAGACUCCUACGGGAGGCAGCAGUCGGGAAUUUUGGGCAAUGGGCGAAAGCCUGACCCAGCAACGCCGCGUGAAGGAUGAAGUAUUUCGGUAUGUAAACUUCGUAAAAAUGGGAAGAACAAAUGACGGUACCAUUUGUAAGCCCCGGCUAACUACGUGCCAGCAGCCGCGGUAAUACGUAGGGGGCAAGCGUUGUUCGGAUUUACUGGGCGUAAAGGGCGCGUAGGCGGCGUGACAAGUCACUUGUGAAAUCUCCGGGCUUAACUCGGAACGGCCAAGUGAUACUGUUGUGCUAGAGUGCAGAAAGGGCAAUCGGAAUUCUUGGUGUAGCGGUGAAAUGCGUAGAUAUCAAGAGGAACACCUGAGGCGAAGGCGGGUUGCUAGGCUGACACUGACGCUGAGGCGCGAAAGCCAGGGGAGCAAACGGGAUUAGAUACCCCGGUAGUCCUGGCCCUAAACGA
rnacentral:rRNA from 1 species